AACCUGACAAUGGCCAUUAACAGGACCUUACUGGUAACCAAGUAAGUGAUAAAGUAUGUCUUACCUCAACACAGACCGUCUGAUCUUCAGAUAUCUGAGUGAGUGAGUAUGGCUUCCCUAACACAGUGUCACCUGGUUGUUUUGCAAGUGUCCCGUGAAGGCCUUUCCUAGUAUACAGGUAUGAGACUAUGUGGCAUUACCUUAUUAGAGAGCUGCUUGUUUUUCAUAUGUGAAUGAGGCUUUUAAGACUAUAUUAACUAUGUUUUUGGCAUGUAUGCAGUUUAGGAAUUGACCCAAGUAGUACUAGUAAGUAUGAGAUUUUACUGUAUUCUUAUUCAGAAAUUGUGUAUUUUAUUCACCCAGAGUGGUGGAUAGGCAGAGAUCCAGGUAAUUUAUCGUAUUGUCCAUCACCACAUUAUUGACCAUGGGAUUCUUGCAGGUAUCCCUUCAAGAGAGGAAGCUAUCUCUUCUUAGGGUAUAACCUCAGGGUUCUGCAAUUAUCCAGGUUCACAUGAAGACCUCACUGCGAGCCUAUCAGUGGUAGGUAGUGACGUGCACAUAUCAGAGACCGAGGUAAGUGAUGACGUGGGCCUCCACCAGGGCACAGGUCAUAUGAUCUUCGUACGCAGAAGUGAUGAUGGUGGCCCUCCACUCGUGUUACCAUACAUUUUUGCAGGUAUCCCUCUCAGGUCUUGGAUAGUACGCAGGUAUAUACGUGGUGUGAUAUUAACUCAUUAUAGAUGUUCCUACUUCCCUUGUUUUUGGCAAGUGUAAGUUCCAGUAAUUGGACCCUGAUAAUACUAGCAAGUAGUAGUUUUUGUUGUUUUCUUUUAUGGAGAUCAAGUGUGUUUCUCACUCCUCAUGGCAGACAAAUAGGAAAUAUCCAGGUCCUUUAUCAUAUUGUUCUAACUGCAUUAUUACUGUGGGGUGUUUACAGGUAUGGCGUCAACAGAGGAAGGCAAACCUUACUAGGGUUUAACCUCAGAGUUCUGGAAGUGUCCAGGACAUGCAGAGAGAGCACAUGAGCCUAUCCAGAGCAAUGAAUGGGGGGAGCAGCAUUGCUGGUAUUGAGGUAAGUGAUGCGCUAGGCUAAGUGGUAACGUGUGCUGACACUUCUUGUUACGAGGAUUUUGUUGCAGGGAUUCAGGUAAGAAGAAUCCUUACCAAUUCUAGAGACUAUAAAUUUUUACUUUUUACAUUUUAGAUAAAAUAUAUGUUUAACACUAUGCAUAUUAAGAGAUCAUAGGUAUACAGGUAUUUAUCAUGGUUUUCUCCACCACAGUACUACCCAUAUGAUUUUUAGAGGUGUCCAGUCACGAAAUGAUGAUUUUUUGACAUUGAUGUUGACCUGGGAGUAUUGUAAGUAUCCAGGUAGUACUGUUAAGUAUCCAGAGUUGAUAUGUCUCAUAAUGAUGAAGUGACCAAGGUUAUUUGCAGGUAUCCUGGUAGAAAAAGUUGUGUUCUUAAACAUGUUUCAUAACAUUUUUUUCAGACCCCUAUCAAGAGAUCACAAUGAGCCUAACAUGGGUCAUUAAUGGGGGCAAGGACAUUGCUGGUAUGCAGGUAAGGGAGGAUGUGGGCCUAAACCACACAGCACAGGCCGUCCGAUCUCCAGAUAGCUAGGUGAGUGAUGACGGUGGCCCUAACACUUGUUGUCAUGAUUUCUUCAGGGGCAUUCAGGUAGGAAAUUAUAUAGAUCCCCUGCCCAUAUAGAAACCAUGAGUUUUCAUUUUCUGUGUUUCAGAGAAAAUUUUUGUUUAUCCCUAUGAGUGUUGACUAAUAUCAUAUCUAGGCAAUUAGGAUGAUGUUUCCUGCCACAGUAGUGACCAUGGAAAUUUUGCAGGUGUCCUGUUUUCAACUGUUGUCUCACCUGACUGUGAUCUUGACUUUGGAGUACUACAAGGAUUCUGGUACAGUUGAUGUUUUACAAUGAUGAAAGUCAUAAAGAUUAUUUGCAGAUGUCCUGGUAGAACAAGUUGUGUUCUUUUAUACAUAUAUCAUAAUGUGUUUUUCAGGUUCAUGUCCCAAGGUCAUGGUGAACCUAAUGGUUAUUAACAGGAGACAUUUCUGGUAUCCAGGUAAGCAAUGAUACACAACUUCAUCACAUCACAGACCGUCCAGUCUUCACAUACUGACAUAAGUGAUUUUCGUUCUUGUUUGACCAUGGGAUUUUUUUUUUUUUUUGUAGGUUUUCAGGUAAGAAAUGAUAAUGUUUUACCAGUUGUAGAAACCAUGUUAUCCUACUAUUUUAUAUUUUAGAAAAAAUUAUGUUUAACCAUGUAAGUGUUGAGCAAUUUGCAGAUAUCCAUGUAAUUAUUAUGAAGGUGCAAAUUACAGUAGUACCGUGGUUUGGGUUUUUUUGUUGUUUGUUUUUGUGUUUGUGUUUGUUUGUUUGCUUGCAGGUGAGCAUUCAAGAGAUAAUGGCAUCUCUAACUAUGAGGUAGGCCUACCUAAGAUCCUAGGUAGAUUUAAUGAGUUUUGGGACGCGUGGGUGGCUCGUCGGUUAAGCAUCUGCCUUCGGCUCAGGUCAUGAUCUCAGGGUCCUGGGAUGGAGCCCCGCAUCGGGCUCCCUGCUUGGUGGGGAGUCUGCUUCUCCCUCUCCCUCUGCCGCUCCCCCUGCUUGUGCUCACUCUCUCUCUGACAAAUAAAUAAAAUCUUUAAAAAAAAGAAAAGAUUGGGGCACCUGGGUGGCUCAAUUGGUUGGGCGACUGCCUUCGGCUCGGGUCAUGAUCCCAGGGUGCUGGGAUCGAGCCCCACAUUGGGCUCCCUGCUCGGCGGGAAGCCUGCUUCUCCCUCUCCUACUCCCCCUGCUUGUGUUCCCUCUCUCGCUGUGUCUCUCUGUGUCAUAUAAAUAAAUAAUAAAAUCUUUAAAAAAAAGGUUCAAUGAGUCCUGCAGUGAUGCCAAUUACAAGGUAAUAAAGGUGUGUCAUGACACAUCUGUCAGAAUGUUUUCUUCAGGUUACCAUGGUAAUCCUGAUAAUAAUCAUUAAAGGGAUUUUGUUUGUAUCCAGGUAAGUGAUGAUGAUAGCCUUUUCCAUGCUAUAGACCAUCUAAUAUUCAGAUAUCUGAGUAAGUAUGGAUGGUAUUCCUAACCUUGUGUUGCUGUGUUUUUUUGCAGGUGUUCAGGUAAGAAAUGAUACUGUCGAUGAUGCUAGUAAGCGUUAGUCCUUAUUAUUUUCAAGUUUAGAUAUACUGUUUGUAUAAUAUCAGUGUGUCAGAGAUUACAUAAGUAUCCAGGUAAGUUAGUAUUUUGCCCAUUGCCUCUUUAUUGACCAUGGCUUCUUACAGUUAUCUUGUCAACAGUAUUGUGUCUCUAACUAGGGAGUUGACCUUGAACUUCUGCAAGUUUCCAGGUAGAUUUGAUAGGCCUCAUAAAUUUGAUGGGAUUUUGCAGGUAAUACAUGUAUUCCUAACACAGUUUUUGCAAUGAAUUUUUAUAGAAUCCACUCAAGAGAUGAUGGAAGGCCUUCGAGAAAAUAUACCAGAGAAAUCCCAAAUUAAAUACUAUGGUCAUGAUGAGCACGGGGUGAUGCAUGGAGUUGUUGAAUCACUAUAUUGUACACCUGAAACUAGUAUAACACUGUAUGUUUACUGGAAUUAAAAUUUAAAAAUAUAUAAGGGGAUUCAAAAACAAUCCCAGGGUGAAAUAACCUAUUCAAGUCGUAUAAUAAUAUUUUCAGUUUCCAAUAGCUGCCUGUGAAAAAAAUCUUGCUCAAAAUGCAUAAAAUGAGAAAAAUGUAUUCCAUAUGAAUGAAUGAAUAACUUGAACUUGUGAACUAGUGAGAAAAUAAAAUCAAAUGAAUGAAUAAAUGAAUGCUAUGAUUAGUUGAACCAUCAUCUCUUGAUUUGUAUUUUUGCAGAUACCCACUCAGGAGGAGAAAAUGUCUCUAUUCAAGGUCUUGUCCCUGGAUUUUUGCAAGUAGCUGGGUAGAUUUUACAGUACCUUUUAAGUCUGCACUGCUCAUUAGAUUUUCAGGUGUCCAGGUUAUGGAAUUAUCAUUAAACACCAUUGUAGAUUCCAGUUAAGAGAUUGUUGAGAACCUCCGUUUGGUAUUGAAGGCAAAAUUUUGUUUGCACUAAGUACAAGAUAAUGGUGUUUGUACCAGAGUUAGAGCUCAUGAGAUUUUGCACAUAUCCAGGUAGACCAUGUUGGUAUUCUGAAGCCAACCUAGUGACCAUGAUUUAUUUGUGAGUAUUUGUAAGUUGUAAGCAGUGAUCAGGGAAAUUGUGCAGAUAUCCUGUACACUAUGAAGGUGUCUCUAACUAAGGUGUUUUUCUUGGAAAUUUGUAGAUGUCCGGGUAAGAGAUGAUGGUGUCCCUAAUCAAGAUAAUGACCUUGGGAUUUUGCAGUUAUCCAAGCAAGAGAUGACAUGUCCCUACCAUGAUCUUGAUCCUGCACCUUUCUAGGUAUUCAAAUAUUCUGAGAAGAGAUGAUGGUGUUCCUAACAACAGUAAAGACCACUGGAUUCUGCACAUGUCCAGUGAAGAGAUGAUAGCAUCUCUUUCAACGUUGGUGUCUAUGGAAAUGAAAGAAAUGGAAUGCUUUUUUUGAUUAGCUGUAUAAU